UACGAAGGGUGCAAACGUUGCUCGGAAUUAUUGGGCGUAAAGGGUGCGUAGGCGGUUUGGUAAGUCUGAUGUGAAAUCUAUGGGCUCAACUCAUAGUCUGCAUCGGAAACUGCCGGGCUUGAGUGUGGGAGAGGUGAGUGGAAUUCCUGGUGUAGCGGUGAAAUGCGUAGAUAUCAGGAGGAACACCUGUGGCGAAAGCGGCUCACUGGACCAUAACUGACGCUGAUGCACGAAAGCUAGGGGAGCAAACAGG
rnacentral:rRNA from 1 species